AUGGUAUNAUAAAAUCGGAGGCCACGACUGUUUACUAAAAACACAAUUCAGAGCAAUUAUUAAGAUAAUAGUAUUCUGAAUGAAAUUUGCUCAAUGCCAUUAAUAUAAAAGAGGUAAUUUUAAAGUUACUAAUUGAAAGUCUGGUUAAUAGCGGUCUUAACUAUGAGGAUCCUAAGGUAGCAAAAUAAAUUGGCCAUUAAAUGUGGUCUAGUAUCAAUAAUGUAACGAUGGUCUCACUGUCUCUACAACUUGCUCAGUGAAAUUGAAUUGCGAGUGCAGAUGCUCGCUAUCUU
rnacentral:rRNA from 1 species